AACAAACGCUGGCGGCGUGCCUAACACAUGCAAGUCGUACGAGAAAGGGUCCUUCGGGGCCUGAGUAAAGUGGCGCACGGGUGAGUAACGCGUGGAUAAUCUGCCCUUCAGUUGGGAAUAACUCAUCGAAAGGUGGGCUAAUACCGAAUAAUGCUGUGAGACCUCGGUUGAUCAGCCAAAGAGAGCCUCUGCUUGCAAGCCCUCGCUGCAGGAUGAGUCCGCGUACCAUUAGCUAGUUGGUAGGGUAAUGGCCUACCAAGGCGACGAUGGUUAGCUGGUCUGAGAGGAUGAUCAGCCACACUGGAACUGAGACACGGUCCAGACUCCUACGGGCGGCAGCAGUGAGGAAUCUUGCGCAAGGGGGGCAACCCGGACGCAGCAACGCCGCGUGAGUGAGGAAGGUCUUCGGAUCGUAAAGCUCUGUCGGAUGGAAAGAACCGCAUAGGGGUAAACAGCCCCUGUGUCUGACGGUACCAUCAAAGGAAGCACCGGCUAACUCCGUGCCAGCAGCCGCCGUAACAC
rnacentral:rRNA from 1 species